GGGUGCGAUCAUACCAGCACUAAUGCACCGGAUCCCAUCAGAACUCCGUAGUUAAGCGUGCUUGGGCGAGAGUAGUACUAGGAUGGGGUGACCUCUUGGGAAGUCCUCGUGUUGCACCCG
rfam:Corchorus olitorius cultivar O-4 contig11956, whole genome shotgun sequence.